AGUGGAGGUGGUCACGAGGAUGACGAUGUCUUGGAUGAUGAGGCGUUGGAGGGCGACUGGGGCAUGUACAUGGAUGGUGUCGGGUCAUCGCGAUGCACGUCUGACGCUGCUGCCCAGCCAUCCCACCCCCCUGGCCAUGAGAAUAGUGCAGAACACACAUCCUGUGCCCAAGCUGGCCCUCGGUCCCCACCACCCACUCGGCUGUCUCCCCCAUUGUUUGCCGACUCUGCCCACAACGGUGGGUGUAUAUUUGUACCCACCCCUGGCUGAUCGACACCACCUGUAGUUCAAGUUGAGCCCACCUAGGACCCUUCACUUCCUAACCAUGACGAACCGGCUGCACAGAUCGAACAGAUACAGGGUAAGACGAGACCGGCGAAGGCAGUUGUGAGGAAACGAAAAGAUCGUUGAGCCGUUGAUGAUGUGGAGCAUAUGGGGUAGUUGGACGACAUCUUAUUGUUCAUGUAACAGCUAGCGGAUAAAACUUUGACAACAUUUUUUGGACAUAAAAGACUGACAGAUUUUUGGAGAGCAUACAUGACAGCAGAUUUUUGGAGGGCAUAUAUGUUAACAGCUGAUUUUUUGGAUAUGUUAGACACAGCUUUUGGAACAUAUUUUGUAACUAAUGAAGCUACUUAAGCAUGUUUAUGACGUACAUGAAUAUUUGAGUCAGCUUCGAGUUAGGUACCAAUUAUACCAAUUAUAUUUGCAAAGGGUGGAUAUUUUCAUGUGCGAUGGAAAAGUUCAUUUCUAGAUUUUUGUAUCUAUGUAUCUGCAUAUUUGAACAAAGGCAGCUUUAGACGAAUGCAAUAUAGUGAUGAUGGAUGGAGAUCCCACAACUGAAGAAGUUUAAUUUAUA